rnacentral:rRNA from 1 species
UACGUAGGGUGCGAGCGUUGUCCGGAAUUAUUGGGCGUAAAGAGCUUGUAGGCGGUUUGUCGCGUCUGCCGUGAAAAUCCGGGGCUCAACCCCGGACUUGCGGUGGGUACGGGCAGACUAGAGUGUGGUAGGGGAGACUGGAAUUCCUGGUGUAGCGGUGAAAUGCGCAGAUAUCAGGAGGAACACCGAUGGCGAAGGCAGGUCUCUGGGCCACUACUGACGCUGAGGAGCGAAAGCAUGGGGGAGCGAACAGG